UCUUAGUGAAUCUAGCACAAUGAUCUAGUCUUUUUCCUAGAGAACAGGUCUAUUAAGGUUGACCAGCACGCUUCUUUUGUUAUGGCAUGAUUUAUGUGUUUACAUAAAAAUGACAAAAACACUUGAGUAAACAUUUAAAAAACAUUGGGAAGAAAAAAUAGGAGUGAUUUCUUUAGCACUGGAUAGAUUAAUUCACCACUGAACCAAUCUUCUAGCACCAAGGGAACAAAAGAAAAAAAAAAAGGAGCACCUCCCUUAGUGCUAGGAAGAUCAAUUUAGCAGUGAACUAAUCUUUCAACACCAAGGGAAUAAAAAAAUAGAAAAAAA
rnacentral:lncRNA from 1 species